UACAGAGGUGCCGAGCGUUAGGCGGAAUCACUGGGCUUAAAGCGUGUGUAGGCGGAUCGUUAAGUAACUUGUGAAAUCCCACGGCUUAACCGUGGAACUGCUGGGUAUACUGGCGAUCUUGAGGUGCUCAGGGGCGAGCGGAACAGAUGGUGGAGCGGUGAAAUGCGUAGAUAUCAUUUGGAACGCCAAUGGUGAAAACAGGUUGCUGGGAGUGUGCUGACGCUGAGACACGAAAGCCAGGGGAGCGAACGGG
rnacentral:rRNA from 1 species